AGUGGUGAGGCAGUUGGUGAGGGAUUACGGCACUCAUAACCCAGAGGUCGCAGGUUCAAAUCCUGCCCCCGCUA
rnacentral:tRNA from 2 species